rnacentral:tRNA from 1 species
AGAGUUAUGCCUGAAUUAAAGGAUCACUUUGAUAGAGUGAAUUAUGAGGGUUAAAAUCCCUCUAACUCUU